rnacentral:lncRNA from 1 species
AUGAAGCCAAACUUUUUUCUUUCUUCAGCCAUGAGGAUUGCUGUCCUCUUCUUCACCAUUUUCUUCUUUAUGAGCCAAGUUCUACCAGCCAAGGGCAAAUUCAAGGAGAUCUGUGAACGUCCAAAUGGCUCCUGUCGGGACUUUUGCCUCGAAACAGAAAUCCAUGUAGGGAGAUGUUUAAAUAGCCGACCCUGCUGCCUGCCUCUGGGGCAUCAACCAAGAAUUGAGAGCACUACACCCAAAAAGGACUGA